rnacentral:rRNA from 1 species
GAUGAACGCUGGCGGCGUGCCUAAUACAUUCAAGUCGAGCGAACAGACGAGGAGCUUGCUCCUCUGACGUUAGCGGCGGACGGGUGAGUAACACGUGGAUAACCUACCUAUAAGACUGGGAUAACUUCGGGAAACCGGAGCUAAUACCGGAUAAUAUAUUGAACCGCAUGGUUCAAUAGUGAAAGACGGUUUUGCUGUCACUUAUAGAUGGAUCCGCGCCGCAUUAGCUAGUUGGUAAGGUAACGGCUUACCAAGGCGACGAUGCGUAGCCGACCUGAGAGGGUGAUCGGCCACACUGGAACUGAGACACGGUCCAGACUCCUACGGGAGGCAGCAGCAGGGAAUCUUCCGCAAUGGGCGAAAGCCUGACGGAGCAACGCCGCGUGAGUGAUGAAGGUCUUCGGAUCGUAAAACUCUGUUAUUAGGGAAGAACAAAUGUGUAAGUAACUAUGCACGUCUUGACGGUACCUAAUCAGAAAGCCACGGCUAACUACGUG